rnacentral:rRNA from 1 species
CACCCAACAGCUAGCCCACCUAAACAAUUUCAACUACCCCCUGUUAAUAACCCCUAAGUACCCCAGUAUUUAAAUUAAACAAACCAUUUUUCCCCCUUAGUAUAGGCGAUAGAAAAGGGACUACGGCGCAAUAGAGAAAGUACCGCAAGGGAAUGCUGAAAGAGAAAUGAAACAACCCAGUUAAGCCUAAAAAAGCAGAGAUUUAACCUCGUACCUUUUGCAUCAUGAUUUAGCGAGUGUACCCCAAGCAAAGCGUGCUUUAGUUUGACGUCCCGAAACUAAGUGAGCUACUUCAAGACAGCCUAUUAAUAGGGCACACCCGUCUCUGUGGCAAAAGAGUGGGACGAGCUUUGAGUAGAGGUGACAAACCUACCGAACCUAGUUAUAGCUGGUUGUCCAAGAAAUGAAUAGAAGUUCAGCCUCUUGGCUUCUCUUUUCACCCUGGUUUAACCCCUAUUGAUGUAUUAAGAAACCAAGAGAGUUAGUCAAAGGGGGUACAGCCCCUUUGAAUCAAGACACAACUUUACCAGGCGGGUAAAGAUCAUA